rnacentral:rRNA from 1 species
GGAUGCGAUCAUACCAGCACUAAUGCACCGGAUCCCAUCAGAACUCCGCAGUUAAGCGACCUCCCGGGAAGUCCUCGUGUUGCAUCCC